GGACAUAGUUCCCAGGCAGGGCCCAGGCUGGCAGGGGGCCCAGGAAAUGGGUCUAAGUGAAGAGACCAUCUGUUCGCUCCAGGUAAAGCUGUGAUUGGCAGGCGUGUGAGCCAGAGCCGCCCGCUGGUGGGGCCCUCCCUCCGUGGCCUCUAACAGAUAUACAAGUAAACAAUCCGCCAGCCACUUAUGACCACCGCGGGCGGCAGUCCCAGGAGGAGAGGCAAGCUAAUCAAACAUUCAAGGAGGAACACAACAGAAUCUCUGGCGCUUGGGCAAAGCGAUGUUUUGCUGAGGUACUUGCCAGGAAGGGGGAAGGUUUGAAUCGAAGCUGAUGAGCCAGUUCCUCACCCUCUUCUUUUCUCUCCCAAAAUGUGUUAACAUUUUAAUCAUGUUGCUGAGUAUCUGCUGCUGGAUCUAUUAACUGGCCUCUGCAUUGAUUUUAAUCCAUCUGGUUUCUGGCCCAAAGCUCUUGUGUGCUCCUUGAGGUCUCUAAAUGAUUUGCAAUUGUCUGCAUCUCUUCACCACACAGAUUUUGGUCUUAACAUGCAUAUUUGUGGUAAGAUUAACAAACAGAUGACUUCAACCAUUUCUUUCCUUUCUCUGGUCUCUGACAGCACACACCUAGAAAGCAUUCCACCAUGUGGUCUGCUUUCCAACCAAGGAAUGGGGGAAGCUGGCUUUGUUUGGAGUCUUCCAGGCCCUGUUCUGAGCCUCUUCUCACCCUGUUCCCAUGAGCUCAUUCAUUCCACAGCUGCCACUGCAACAAUGACUCCCACAGCGUCACAUCCAGCCCCUGCCCCACCCUGAGUUCUGGGCCAGAUAAUACAACCGUCAUUUCUUACCUGGGCUGGAUACAUUCACGUGGAUGUUCUUGGCCACCUCAAACACCUCAAAAACAAACAAUGAACAAAGGGAAACACAGAACUCUUUUCUUGCCUCCUCAGAGAAGCCAGUACCUUCGGGGAAACCAUGACAAGCCAGAAAGCAGGCAGAAGUAAUGCACUGAGCGACUGGUUGUGGGGGUGGGUGGAGGGGAACCCUGAUUUGUAGUUGUUGUUGUUGUUUCUGGUACUGAGGAUUGGACUCAGCUACCACUCUACCAUUGAGCCACAUCCCCAGCCCUUUUUAUUUUUUGAGACAGGGUCUCACUAGAUUGCCCAGCCUGGCCUUAAAAUUGUCAUCCUCCUGCCUCAGCCUCCUGAGUUGCUGGGAUUACAGGCAUGCACCACCUUGCCCAUCUGAUUUGUAGUGUUUGUCAGCCACCAUAGCCAAUUUCAAGCUCCCAACAUGAAGUCACUACAUGCUAACUUGGGAAGACAGCUGGAGCUGGUGGCAGCACAAUGUGGCCGGAGGCAUCCUCACUCAACCCUUUCCUCUCGCCUUAUCCUCUGCCCAGUUAGAUGCUACCCCUGCCAGAGCCUCCAACCUGAUCUCCUCACAUCCACUUACACCGGCUCCCAGCUCUCCACAAAGCAGCUUUUUUACACCAGGAACCUGAGUAUGUCACUUCUUUGACCCAGCAGGUCUCCUCAUCCCUUGGUAUCCGGUAUCUUAGUUCCACACCCCUCAGAUACCAAAUCUGGGUACACUCAAGUCCUUUCUAUAAAUGGCAUAGUAUUUGCACAGAACCUACAAAAUCCUCUAGUAGGCUUGAAAUAAUCUCUAGAAUACCUGAAAUACCUAAUGCAAAAUAAUUGUUAUGAUGUAUUGUUUAGAGAAAAAUGAUAAGGAAAAAAUGUCUGUACCUUUUCAGUACAGAUGACAUUUAUUCCCCUAAUAGUCUCCAUUCUUGGUGAUUGAAUUUGAAGACACAGAACUGCCAAUAUGGAACUUGAGGAUACAGAAGGCUGGCUGUAUAUGUGUACUCAAAAGAAAUUUAAACAUCCAUCCCCCAAAAUAUUUUGUUUUAAAAUAAAGUAAAAAUAAGGACUGGGGAUGUACUCAGUGGUAGAAAUCCCUGGGUUCAAUCCUUCAUACUUUG
rnacentral:lncRNA from 1 species